GUAUUGAUUGCGUGUGAGCGCAAAAAGAAAACAUUCUAUACUGUAUCGAGUUUUAUGUGAAAACGCGAGCCCUCCGUAAGGAGGACCCACGCGGUGAUGCACAAAGGGGGUGAGAUGGAUGUGUGAGAGAACGCUCGUGCGUGCACGACCUUUGGAGGUCAGCGACAGCCUUUGCGCCUCCGUUGUACGAUAAUGAUCCUUCCGCAGGUUCACCUACGGAAA
rnacentral:misc_RNA from 1 species